GCAGUCCACCAUUGAAAAAGGAUCUGACACGGUUCAAGAUUUCUUGUGUUCAAGUUGCAAGGACGAAAAACUGUUUGAAUCGGCUGAAUCCUGCGUGAAGUUUUAUUGCCAAAAAUGUAUCCGCAUGCAUGGAGAGUUGUUUAUUAAGAAACAUUUCCCUCAUGGAAGGGGUGAUAUGAAGAAAUGGCCAGUGGCCAAAAAGGUGGAAGAUCUUAUUCUUAAAUGUGGUGUUCAUAAAGAGGAAUACCUGAACAUGUAUUGCGAAGACCAUAGCCAGCUGUGCUGCACUAAUUGUGCAUUUCUCAAUCACAGACAAUGCAAACAGGUGAAGCUUGUAUCGGACAUAGUAAAGACAAACUCAACUAACCUGAAUAAGCUGUUAGUUACUAUCCAAACUAUUCUGGGAGAAAUGAAGAUUCUUCGAGACAAACAGAAGGCUAGCAUGGCGUCUGUACAAAGUUUAUACGAUAGGCAGUUAAAAAUAAUACAGAAAACACGCAGAAAAAUAAAUGCAACCUUAGACAUGCUUGAAAAAAAGACACUGAAGGAAAUGAAAGAUGCACUGACCAAACUGCAAGCCUCUCUAAGGGGUGAUGUUGACAAAUGUGCCUCACUUCAAGAUGAAUUAAAACAUCUUGGUGAUGCCAUACAAGACAUAAUUGAUAAAAGAUACCUGGAACUAUCUUUUGUAGCAAACAUUAAAUGUCAGGAAAAGAUCAAACAGUCUGAAACCUAUAAGAAGAAGACAUUUGAUAAAACACUAUCAUCAAUAGCUUUUCAGCCUAACAGUGAUAUUGAGCAUUACCUUUCCAAGUUGUCAGGUCUCGGGACUAUUGAACACAAUGUCCAGACAUUGACUGCGCAAGGAAAGCAAGACACAGUAAUAAGAUUGAACUGAAAGUCUGAAUAUGAUAUGAGCAUCCCAAGUCAUUCUGAUACAUGCUUUAUUACAGCCUUCUGUGUUCUCCCAACAGACUGGUCCUGGUUGCAGACAACAGCAAAAAUAAAGUUAAGCUGCUGGACGAGCAGUACCGCGUGGUGAAUCACUGUGAUGUAUCUGCCUGGCCACAGGACAUAUGUCAGAUAGCACCCAGUGAGUUUGCAGUGACUGUCGAUGCAAUAGAAAACACUCAUGAAGUCGUGUUUAUUACCGUCAUCAACAACCAGGUCGUCACAGGCAGGAAGCUGAAGUUAAAACAUAACUGUGUUGGUAUUACCUACCACCAGGAAAACCUGUUUGUCACAUCCAGUACUACCUUGUACAAGUACACAAUGAGCGGUAACCUGGUCUGCAAACUGUACCAGGACAAAUCAGAUACAUCAACAGGUCACGGUCAUACUUAGGGGUAAAACGCCAAACUUGACAUCUAAACAGCCAAAAAGUUCCUGUCUCAGCUAUAAUUUUGCCAUAUAUAUUAAUGGAUUUCAAAGUCACUUCGCACCAAAGUACACAGAUGUGUUGUGAGCCCGACAGGUGACAAGUUGUACGUCACCAACCCCUCCAAACACAAGCUGCUCACCCUGGCCAGGGAUGGAUGUGUCAUUGCCAUAUUCGCUGACCUUGAACUGAUAUCUCCAACUAGUGUACAUGUGACACCUGCAGGUCAGGUUCUUGUAAGUGGAGGGGAUUCCCACACUAUCCUACAGAUUGACAGUAAGGGAAUCAGGAAGCUGGCCACUCUGGCUACAGGGAGGGGAUGGGAUUCAGGAACCAUGGUCAGUCUGCUACAACAGCAAUACUGCUUCCAUUAUUGUUGGACAGUGUAAUAACAAGAUCCUGGUGUACAAAGUGAAAUAGAUAAUAAUUAUUGUAAUGUUUCAGACCCGUAUAGGGAGGGUUAAUAUAUAGACGGAGUUUGUAUGUAUAUUUAUUAACACACACACACACACACACACACACACACACACACACACACACACACA